UUUCCCUAAUAUACAAGCCGUUUAGUUUAGCGCACGACCUAACUGUAUAUUGUAUAGCCAUUAACAACAAAUGGCUGAGGAAGCCACACGCUGCGUUUGUUAAGAACUAACAAGAAAUUGAAUGCACGUAUAUCAGUCCAAAAAAACAAAAACAAUUACACGGUGUUCAGGUUUCGUCAUUCAGCGACAAUUCUCAGUAGUCCACAUUAACACCAAGACGGAGGAAUUUUCUCAACUUUUAGUCACUCGGUGAUGUCAACCAACAUCUAACCCUUCACAAACGACGGCAAAUACCAGACGCCGACUCGCCUGUCCUCCCGGGAGCUCCGCUGGACUCCGUUCAGGAUGUGCUGAGCCAAAGCUGAGGUCACAUCAACCCGCCCUGGCCCGAGUACUGUAGGCGAAGUCACAACUCUCACCUAUGGUGUGUCCCUGCGUGGAGAGCGGCGUGACGGAUCCGUCGGGGGACGGGUGGAACUGCUGCUGGACUUUGGCAACCUAGAUGAUAAUGACUGAGAUCCAGCCGAUAAAACCGACGAUGAUGACGCAAACUGCGCUUAUGAGUCAAUUUGGCAAACAACGUGAGGCCAACUUGACGGAAGAGGCACAUCAGCGGCGCUGACACGGAAGCUUGCCAGUGACCGGCCGACAACAAAUGGAUCUCAUCUGACAAAUAUCCUGCAGGGCCCUUUUUUUCCUCUUUCUUUCUUUCUUUCUUUCUUUCUUUCAUUUUAGCCCAAGGUGCCGCGUCGUCUGCGCUCCUCAAGUGGAAGUCAUGGUGAUGGACACCCGCACAUUAAGCUGGCGUCAGGAUGGAUUACAGGCGACCGCUGUUGAGACCGAGCGUCAUGACCGGAAGGAGGAGGAGGAGGAGGGGCAGCAGAGGAUGCGGGUCAGCGUGUGAGCUGCCACACCUGAUUACAGGUGACGUCAUCUCCAGUGUCAGAGAACAACUAAUAUGACUGCAACUUCCUGAGAAGUGACCAUCUCCAUGUAUAUAGUGGACCCACGCUAUCCGUGCGGGAUAAGGACCAGACCUGAAUGCGAAGGCGAAAAUCAGCAAAUGAUUGAUACACGUUAUAAUUACCAUGAAAAAAAGGGGAAUAAGUGGGGGAUCAUGAAAAAAAGCACAGCGUACAAGUUGGGUUUUCCUCGAGAAACAGGGGCUCCCCCCUUUAAAUCCACGAAAAGGUCAAGUUGCAAAUGCCGAAUUUGUCUGCGUGAAUAUGCGGGGGUCCUCUAUAUCUCUUUG